rnacentral:sRNA from 1 species
UAUUAAUAGUACAUAUAUUUGUAUGUAAACUCGAUAGAAUACGCAAUUGCACGCUGUUGGAGAUGGAUUAAGAGUGAUCACAGCUCAAGGUAGACAAAGUGCAACCGAACAAAACGGAUACACGUUCGUGCACUGCAAAGUCACUGGAACCGGAACCGGAAUCUAUUUGGGCAGGUCUUGGAUGAGCCACCCUAAAGUCGUCUAUGCUUUCACAGAGAUGACCAGCGUGGUCAAUCCAUCUGGCUGGAGGGAGAACCUCAACCGCGGAUAUGACAAGUACGUAACA